GCUAAUGUAUUGGAGGGCAAGUCUGGUGCCAGCAGCCGCGGUAAUUCCAGCUCCAAUAGCGUAUAUUAAAGUUGUUGCAGUUAAAAAGCUCGUAGUUGAAUUUCGGGAUCAAUGUUUCGGUCAUGCCGUUGGUAUGUACUGAUAUUAUUGAUUUCUCACCUUCUAAAGAACCGUAAUGCCAUUAAUUUGGUUCACGGGAACUGGAAUU
rnacentral:rRNA from 1 species